AGUGAACGCUGGCGGUAGGCCUAACACAUGCAAGUCGAACGGCAGCACAGUAAGAGCUUGCUCUUACGGGUGGCGAGUGGCGGACGGGUGAGGAAUACAUCGGAAUCUACUUUUUCGUGGGGGAUAACGUAGGGAAACUUACGCUAAUACCGCAUACGACCUACGGGUGAAAGCAGGGGAUCUUCGGACCUUGCGCGAUUGAAUGAGCCGAUGUCGGAUUAGCUAGUUGGCGGGGUAAAGGCCCACCAAGGCGACGAUCCGUAGCUGGUCUGAGAGGAUGAUCAGCCAAACUGGAACUGAGACACGGAAAAGACUACUACGGGAGGCAGCAGUGGGGAAUAUUGGACAAUGGGCGCAAGCCUGAUCCAGCAAUACCGCGUGGGUGAAGAAGGCCUUCGGGUUGUAAAGCCCUUUUGUUGGGAAAGAAAAGCAGCAGGUUAAUACCCCGCUGUUCUGACGGUACCCAAAGAAUAAGCACCGGCUAACUUCGUG
rnacentral:rRNA from 1 species